rnacentral:rRNA from 1 species
GAUGAACGCUGGCGGCGUGCCUAAUACAUGCAAGUCGAGCGAACGGACGAGAAGCUUGCUUCUCUGAUGUUAGCGGCGGACGGGUGAGUAACACGUGGAUAACCUACCUAUAAGACUGGGAUAACUUCGGGAAACCGGAGCUAAUACCGGAUAAUAUUUUGAACCGCAUGGUUCAAAAGUGAAAGACGGUCUUGCUUUCACUUAUAGAUGGAUCCGCGCUUCAUUAGCUAGUUGGUAAGGUAACGGCUUACCAAGGCAACGAUGCAUAGCCGACCUGAGAGGGUGAUCGGCCACACUGGAACUGAGACACGGUCCAGACUCCUACGGGAGGCAGCAGUAGGGAAUCUUCCGCAAUGGGCGAAAGCCUGACGGAGCAACGCCGCGUGAGUGAUGAAGGUCUUCGGAUCGUAAAACUCUGUUAUUAGGGAAGAACAUAUGUGUAAGUAACUGUGCACAUCUUGACGGUACCUAAUCAGAAAGCCACGGCUAACUACGUG